rnacentral:rRNA from 1 species
UGGGGAAUUGUUCGCAAUGGGCGCAAGCCUGACGACGCAAUGCCGCGUGGAGGAUGAAGAAUUUCGGUUCGUAAACUCCUUUCGACCGAGAUGAAUGUCCGCUGACCUAACACGUCGGCGGGGUGACAGUAUCGAGGGAAGAAGCCCCGGCUAACUCCGUGCCAGCAGCCGCGGUAAGACGGAAGGUGCAAGCGUUGCUCGGAAUCACUGGGCGUAAAGGGUGCGUAGGCGGCUGUGUAAGUCUGGCGUGAAAGCCCAGGGCUCAGCCCUGGAAGGGCGCUAGAAACUGCGCGGCUAGAGUGCCGGAGGGGAGAGUGGAAUUCCUGGUGUAGCGGUGAAAUGCGUAGAUAUCAGGAGGAAUACCGGUGGCGAAAGCGACUCUCUGGACGGCAACUGACGCUGAGGCACGAAAGCGUGGGGAGCAAACAGGAUUAGAUACCCCAGUAGUCCCUGAGCGGGCUGGCAAGGCGCAU